rnacentral:tRNA from 1 species
CCUGCAGCUGCUGCGCGUUGAGCUCGUUGUAGCCGAGCCAGACGGCCCACUCGUCCUCGCUGAGGUCGUGCGGAUCGCCCUGCAGAGC